CUCCCGAUGGUGUAGUGAGUUAUUACCAAAAACUCCUGACUCAUAAACAACAUCGACUAACCUCUGCAGGUUGGCUAUCACGUUCGACUGUAAAUCGAAAGGUCACCGGCUCGAUUCCGGUUCGGGAGA
rnacentral:tRNA from 1 species